UACAGAGGGUGCAAGCGCUAAUCGGAAUUACUGGGCGUAAAGCGUGCGUAGUCGGUUAUCUAAGUCGGGUGUGAAAUCCCCGGGCUCAACCUGGGAAUUGCAUUCGAUACUGGAUAGCUAGAGUUCGGCAGAGGGAAGCGGAAUUUCCGGUGUAGUGGUGAAAUGCGUAGAUAUCGGAAGGAACAUCAGUGGCGAAAGCGGCUUCCUGGACCAGAACUGACGAUCAGGCACGAAAGCGUGGGGAGCAAACAGG
rnacentral:rRNA from 1 species